rnacentral:misc_RNA from 1 species
GGGAAGUUGCGAAGAAUCCCUGUGAAGAUGAAGGAAAUGAUACGAAGAAGAUCGAUGAAAGUGAUCGAGAUAGAAGCGUUAGGAAUGAGGAUGAUGAUGAUGAUGUCGAUGAGGAGGUUGAUGCAGGCGACGGCGACGGCGGUGAAGUGGAAAGGAAAGGGGAUUGGAGAGCCAGAAGCAACCAAUACCCAGUACGGCCUGAGGCUGAGGAUUGUGCGUUUUACCUUAAAACAGGGACUUGCAAGUUCGGAUCAUUUUGCAAAUUCAAUCACCCUGUGCGAAAGAAAAACCAGGUUGUUUCUGAGAAAUUGAAAUACGAGGACGAUUCAG